CGACCGGUGGUAGAACUUGACUGUUUGGAUGAUGAUGAAGCUUGGACUCUGUUUGAAAAGAAAGCAGGUCUAGAUGACUUUUCUGAUGAUUCUAUUAAAACCCCAGCAAAGAAAAUUGUCAAAAAAUGUGGGGGUUUGCCUAUAGCUAUAGUUCCGCUGGCAAGUGCCUUGAAAGGCAAAACAAAUUGUCAUGAGUGGCAAGCUGCAUACCGGAGACUCGAAGGUCGUAGAUUGACUGAAAUAGAGGAUGUUGAUGAAAGAAAUGCCUAUGUAAUUCUUGAGACGAGCUUCGAUUACUUGAAGGAUAUGAUGACCAAGACAUGUUUCUUGUUGUGCUCUUUAUUUCCCGAAGAUCAUGAGAUUUAUGUGGACGACUUGGUAGGAUAUGCAUGGGGACUGGAGUUGUAUAAAGGCAUGGACUCAAUUAAAGAUGUUAGAAGCGAAGUGCUUGCAUCGAUUGAGAUCCUCAAGAACUCUGGUUUGUUGCUAGAUUCCGGAGAAAUGCAUGUCAAAAUGCAUGAUGUGGUUCGCCAAUUUGCUUUGUGGAUAGCAUCUUCAAGAAAGGAGAUUUCUUUUGGGACUGUUGAAACACUCCCGAUGGAUGAAAGUUUCAAGCAUUACACAGCAAUCUCCUUCGAAACUGAUCAAACAGAUGAACUUCCUAAAGGAGUCGGUUUUCCAUACCUCAAACUUCUUUUACAUGGUGGCAAUCGUUUCGUGGAAACUUCAAGCGAAUUCUUUGAGGGUAUGAAGGCAUUACAAGUUUGUGCUUUGAAAUAUCAAUUGAUAUCUCUAGCUGCAUUUAAGUUUAAUAUGAACCUUCGAACUUUGUGUUUGAUUAAUUGUGAACUCUCUGACAUCUCGAUGCUUGGCAAGCUGAAGACACUUCAUAUUCUCUCUUUAAGUCAAUCUGAUAUCACUGAAUUGCCGACUGAAGCUGGUGAUUUGGAAAAUCUAAGACUGUUGGAUUUAUCGUAUUGCGAUGAUCUACGAAGAAUUGCUCCUAAUUUAAUACAAAGAUUGUCCAAUUUAGAAGAACUAUACUUGCAUGGUUGUAGUUCAUUAAAAUGGGCGACUGAGAAUUCAACUAAAAAGGAAAGCUAUUCUAGCCUAUCGGAGUUGAAUUCAUUGCCAAAGUUGGUUGUAAUAUCAUUGGAUAUUUCUUCUAAACAUCUUCCAGAUGGCUUUGUGUUUCGUAGAUUAUGGAGCUUUGAUUUUUGCAUUGGCAUAAAAAGACCCAAGUGGUACCAAAAGAGCGAAACUUGUCCAAUCUCAAGAUCUUUGAGAAUCAAGAAAUCUGUAGAUGCAUGCAAGCAACUACUUGAAAAUGUAGAAUCUCUUCAAUUGAAUGAUGUGGAGGGUCACCCAAACCUUAUUCCGAGCUUGGACUUGGGAUUUAGUAAGUUGACUUCUCUAGAUCUUCGUCUGUGCCACUUUAUGCAGUGCCUAAUUGAUUCACCAAAGCAGCAAGUGCCAAUCACGACACUCUCUAAUUUGAGGAAGUUAUCAUUAAGUUGUAUGUUUGAUUUGGAAGAGAUGUGCAAUGCUCCCCAGCCGCAAGGUUUUUUACAAAAGCUUGAAGAGGUUAUAGUUUCAGAUUGUGAUAAGAUGCAAGUCUUAUUCCCUAAUGUUGAAUUGAAGAGCAUAGAACUAGAAGGGCCCAGUAGUCAUUUAUGCCUCCAAAGUCUGAAGAUUGUUAAAAUAAAGAGAUGCAAUAAUUUGAAAUAUAUCUUCCCAAUGUCAGUUGCUAAUAGCCUUGAACAAUUGCAUACUUUGAAGAUAAAGAGUUACUCGCAAUUGGAAGAUAUAAUCCAAGACCGACAAGCUGCAUACAAAUGUCUACUCCAAAGUCUAAGGGAAGUAUGUGUAUCUCAUUGCAAUAACUUGACAUCUCUUUUCCUUAUUGCCUUAUGGUCAAAGAUUGGGAAAUUUGAUUAUGCUUUUCAUUUCAGGUUUCGUUGAUUGAUUUACCUCAAUUGAAAGGAAGGGAUGUGAAUGACAUUAUGCUCACACAAUUGUCUUUGCAGAAGUUAAAAGUGCACAAUUGUCCUCAAUUGACACAUUUUAUUAUUUCGACUACUAUACGAGUUUAUAUUAUAUUAUAUAUUUAUUUAUUAAUUCGUUUCUUUUUUUCUUUAAUAAUUUGUUGUUUGAAUAGUUGUUUAAAAGAUAGAAUUUAUUUUAUAAUUUUGGUCUAAAACUAAUCUAAGUAACCUUUUAAAACAAAUUAGUUGAUUAUAAUACUAAAUUAUACAAACUAUAUGUUUUAGAUAUGUUGCAAACUAUUUAUCUAAUACUAAAUUAUAUUAUACCUAUUAAGUGGGUAAACAAAAAUAAGUUACAUAAAAUUAUAUAUAAGUUUUAGUUCGGUUGGUAUCGAUAUUGUUGUAUGAAUAGAGGAUGUGGGUUUGAGCGCACUUAAGAACGUUUGUCUUUCUAUUUAAACGUGGGAAGGAAUUAUGGAUGAUUUUAGAAUUUGUAUAAAAAAAUAAACUAAAAAAUAUAUAUAUUUAAAUUUUUUUUAAAAUGUAGUCUUUAACACAGGUGAUUUUUUUGUUUUUGUAUUAAUAUAUGAAAACGAGUUUAAGUAAUUUCCAAUUGCGUUGUUACACCUAUCUAAUAAUUUAUAUAUGUAAAGAUUAUGUGAUAUUAUUUAUGACUGUUUUUGCACCUCAUUUUUUGAGUAUAAUAUUGAUUUAAGUUAAAAUAAAUUUUUUGUAAGGAAAUUAAUUGAUGAAAUGAUAAGUUAGUUGUUGACAUCUUUGAAUAUUUUGAAAUUGAAAAUUGAUGAUAUGUUUAUAGGAAUUGGUGUUUGGGAAGAUGACAAAUCAACAAUUGAGCAAUUUGCAUUCAUGUAAAUAUGAGGAGCUAGAGCAAGAUCAAACGUCAUCACCACAUCAUCCCCUACCUAUUUGCUUUCCAAAUCUGAUUCGAAUUGAUAUCUUAGAAUGUGAAAGCUUGAAAUCUCUCUUUCCAAUUAUUGUUGCUCAAGGUAGGUCUAAAAAACUAAAUGCUCCCAAUUUGCAAACCUUGAAGAUAAAGAGGUGCUUUGGAAUGGAAGAAAUAAUCCAAGACUCACAAGUAUCAACCAUAAGCUUCCAAUGCCUAAGGGAAAUACAAGUCACAGAAUGCAAUAAUUUGAAAUUUCUCUUCCCAAUGUGUGUUGCUGGUAAUCUUGGGCAAUUGCAAACUCUGAAGAUAGAGAGCUGUUCGCAAUUGCAAGAAACAAUCCAAGGACCAGAAGUGCUAAUUUCAAUGGCUCAAGGUCUUGCACAAUUGAAUGAAGUUGAGUUAAUUGAUUUGCCUCAAUUGAAAGGAAAUGAUACAAAUGACAUCGUGCUGACAUCGCCAUCUUUGCACGUGUUACAUGUGAGAAAUUGUCCUCAAUUGACACCUUUUAUCGUGUCCCCCAAUAUACAAGUAAGACCUUAUAUAUUAUUUAUUAAAAUUUUCACCUUUUGAUUUUUUUUGUAUAAAAUAAAUAAAUGCUUGUAUAACUCUUUAAAAAAUAGUUUUCAUUUUAGAAUUUUGGUCUAAAAACUAAUCUAAAUAAACCUUUAAGUAGUUUAGUUAAUUACAAUACCAAUUAGUAGUAAAUACUUUUAUCAUCUAUAUGAGAAAUAUAUAUAUUAUUUAUGUUUCUUUUAUUUAUAUAUAUAUAUAUUUUGCAAACACUAUCUAGUACUACGUAAUAUUAUUUAUGUUGUGUUUUUAUAAGUAUUGGUGUUGUCGGAGAUGACAGAAAAGCAAUUAUUUGAAUAUUCUAGAUAUAAUGUUUCAAGUCUGAAGUACCUUAGUUUGUACAAACUAACUGAAUUGCGGGUGAUAUGGAGUGCUCCCAUCCAAGUUGAAUACUUUGCAAAUCUCACUGAAUUGGUAGUCCACAGUUGCAGAAGGUUAAUAUACAUCUUCUCACCUACCAUCGCUCGAAAUUUCCCACAAAUGCGCAGGUUGAAUAUAUAUGUGUGUGAGGAAUUGGAGCAAAUAAUUGAGAAGGAACAAACUCCAUCACAACAUCAGCUCCAACCUAUUUGCUUCCCUAAUUUGAGUUCGAUUACAAUCAUUAGCUGUGUAAACUUGAGAUGUCUCUUCCCGAUUACUCUUGCUCAUGGCGGCCUUCCAAAACUAUAUCGAUUAGAACUUGAAGAUAUCCCCCUAUUAGAGCAGGUGUUUGAAGAAGAUGAGUCAAAUGUGAGUAAGGACGAAGAGGAAGUGAUACACCUACCUCGAUUAACCCACUUAAAGCUUGAUUGGCUACCAUACCUCAUGAGCUUCAGCCCUCUGGGUUCUCAUUUUAUUUUCCCAUCUUUGACGGAUUUACGAGUAAAAGAUUGUCCCAACAUAUACACAAGAUUUAGUGUGGAUUCAAAGGAUUCAGUGCAUGCCAAAACACAGGUACACUACUCUUCCAAACUCAAUAAUAAGCUUUAAAACAAAAGUUUAUCCACUGAAUUAUUUUCUCUAUGUAUUCUUCCAAACUCUUUAUUUACUAAUCUUUAAUUUCUAUGCAUUAAUGCAAUAUUUUUAUUUUGGCUGUCUGAGAGAAAUUCUUUUUUUUUUAAUGCUUUAAAUGACUAAAUGAAAUUGCAUCGACUGUAAAUGGUUUCUGUUGGCUGUCAAUAUUUGUUUCUAGAUAUCAUUGUUGCAUUAUUAAUUUCAAUUCACAGUUCUUGUUCUUAAAAUGUCAUCCUUUGUCCAAUUUUGGAAAACUGGCUUUGCUUUCUUCAUCAUCAAUCAUCAAAAGCAAACAGUAAUAAGUGAAGGUUUAAUUUGCUUUGCAGGUAAGCCAAUCAGUUGAUGAAAUUAUAGUGGAAGAAUCUGCUACGGCUCCAGAAAUUGCAUGGCCAAUUGGUAGUGAUAUCUAUUGGUGGAACGGGGAAGGUGGGGAAGAUGAAAGUGAUUUUGAAUAUUAAAAAGAAUGGAGCAAUAAAUGAAGUAAUUUCUAUUUGAAAAUUAAGCAUUGUGAAUGUUGAAAUUGAAUGCCAUGUAUUCGUUAUUAUGUACCACUUAUUUUUUCAACUAAUUCUAACAUUACAUAAGGUAAUUUAAAAACAUCAAUAAUGUUGGUAGAAACCUUAUUUUUUUGAAAAGGCGUUGACUUUUAUUUAAAAACGAAAAUGGGAGUCACCACUGAUUUUUUAAGGUGUGAUCAGAUCACCUAGUAAUUUAGUCGUUUUAAUGAAAUAUUUUAAUUUAUUAAAACAGCGAUUUUGGUCUACGAAAUUUGAGAAAAUGGGUUCGGGAGUCAGUUACGUGCGAGGAAGGAUUAAUACCCUUGUCACGCCCAAAAUUGGUACUUAAUUGAUUAAUUAAUGUCUCAAUGUUGAAUGUUAAAAAUUUAGAAAAGAUUUUAAAACACGAUUCUUUUUUAUUAAUGUUCAUUUUAAAAAUGAUUGAACAAAUGAAACGAAAUGCUAAAGACUCUCUCGUCUCGAGGUAAUAAAAUAUCACAUCCCGUAAGUUAAGACACGACAUUUUGAACCCUUGAGAAUAAUCUUGCCUUUAAAUUUUAUUGAAAUUUCAUCUAUUUUGAAAUUUAAAAGGAUAUUUGGCUAUUUAGGUUUAACAAGAAAAUCGAAACCCCAUAAGUUAGGGUACGAUUUCUUGAAUUUCCAAAACGCGAAAUAUUACUUUAUUUUAAAAUUUUUUGUUUUUGAAUAAUAACGAGUACUACAUUUACGAUGUGUGUUUAUUUUGUUCAAAGUAAAACCAAAAUGAUCCAUAUUGGAUAAAUAUAUUGGAGCCUAAUGCACGACGUGAUUUAAACGAGAUAAAAGAAAAAGGCAACAUAGAGCAUGGAAUAAUGAUACACGAAUUAGAUGUUAUGUUAAUGAAUGUCGACAAUAUGAAAAUAUUAAUAAAUAAUUCCUAGAAUAUAUAAUAGUAAUAUUGACAUAAUACAUCAUUUUAAUACCAAAAUUAACAAUUGAAGUAAACAAAACAAAAUAACAUAUAAAACAAUUUGAAGUAAAUAGUAUAAAACAAUUUAAAAUGAAUAAUAUGUAAAACAAAUAUUAAAAUAAAUAAUAUAUAAAGCAAUUCAAAAUAAAUAAUUUACAAGACACUUUAAAAGAACAUAUAAAAGAGUUUAAGAUAGAUAAUAUGUAAAACGAAAUUUAAAAUUAAUAUACAACGCAGUUUUUUUAAAAUAAAAAUAAAAAUAAAAAUAAAAAUAAAAGAUAUAUAUAUAAUAGUUCAAAACAAAUAAUAUAUAUAAUAAUUUAAAAUAAAUAAAUAAUAAAAGUGUUUAAAAUAAGUAAUACAGGGAAAACUUAAAAUAUAUAAUAAUAAAACAGUUUAAAAUGAUAAUAUAAGAAAAGACUUAAAAUAAAUAAUAAUAAUAAAAAAAAAUUCUUUUGAAAAAAGAAAAAAAUUAAAUUAAAUAGACCAAGGACGAGAUUGAAAUCGAACUGAAAUUCAGGGUAUAAAUUGUAAAUAAAAAAAGGCUAACAAGAAGCAAAAUAAGACAGGCUGAAACAAACGGGGACCAAAUGAAAACAUAGCCCAAUCUUUGGACACGCAUCCUGUCUCCAAGAGCUCAGCGUGCCCAGGAUUAAAUUGAACCACGCGAGAAAUGUAUGCCCAAAUUUAUAAAAUAAAGAAAAAGGUAAAUAAAAGGGCAAGAUUACAGUGCACUGCAAAAGCGGAGAGACUCCGCGUGCAAAUAGACCAUAAGUCAAAAAGGCGCGGACCUUCUCCUGGUAUGGGUUGGGUCGUGCGGGUUAGAAGCCUAAAACAACGUCGUUUUGACCUCUAAACUUAAUGAUCAAAACAACGUCAUUCUAUGACUUUAUUUAAACCCAAUUUUUUUUUAAAAAAAAUUUAGUGGUUCUUAAAAAAAACUUCAAAGAAACCCUAUUCUCUCAACCCCCCUUUUGGCCGGCAUGGGUUCCAUCGUUGAUACACCCUACCGCCGCCGUGGCCGGUGGCCAACGAUGCGGAAAACGGGCUUUUUAGCCUCGCUUUGAGGCGCCUUUGAAGGCCAAGACACCAAAAUCCAAAGAGUCGAAAGGAGAUCACUCUCUGGCCCUUUUGAGUUUGACUUCGGAAACGGAGAAUGGCCUCCUGACGUUGCAACCGCGGGAAAAUCAGGUGAGCCACAAUCUUUCCGUUUUUAUAUUUUCAUAUAUGUAUAUAUAUAUAAAUAAAAUAAGAUAAAAUAAAAUAAACUUAAUAUUAAAAUCAAAGAAAUAUUAAAUGAAAAUCACCUUUCUUCAAUAGAUUUCUAUUCUUUUUGUUCGAAAGUUCUUUUAUAUUUUCUUUUGUUUUUGUGCGUGUGUAAAAAAAAGUACAAAGGAAUCAUCUUGGCUUUUAUAGCCGACGCUAAGAUCCAUUUUUGUUUGUUUUUGUUUUGUUUCUGCUGCCAUUUUGUCUUUUUCCUUGUUGUUUCUCGUACUACUUGCGUGUUGGUUUUGUUUUGUAGGUGUCAGAAGCGUGGUGAUGGCUUGCGGUUAUGAUGGCACGCUGAGGAGGAGCGGCAGUUGAAGCUCUUAGGGGGCUAGGGUUUUUCUUCUUCUUGUUUUGGCUGAAAGUGUUUAGUUUUGUGGGCUAGGGUUUAGUUGGGGUUAAUUUGGGUUUAUGGUUUAGGCUUGUAAAAUUGGGUUUGUUGGGCUUUGGGUUUUGAAUUUUGUAAAAGAGACUGGACUGUUAAAAUUUUUGGACUUUUAUUAUUAUUAUUGUGUUUGGGUUUUCUGACGGGAUGGGCAAAUUUGGGCCCAUACAAUGUUGAUAUGAAAAACAUUAUAGAACGUAAAUAUAAAGAUUUUUGUUUCUUUACAGGCCCUUCCAAAAGCUAACAAAGUCUUUACCGAUUUUCUCAGCGAAUAUGGAGUCUUCCCGGCAUUAGAAGAAGGCUUGGUUAAUGAUGAUUUCAAACUUUUGUCUAGCUUUCGUUUAGCUUUUGGAUUCUUCCAAGCUACCUUCAUGUUUAUCCAAUUUUUUUUCCAGUUGGUCAUGCCGAAACAACUCAAACAUAAAUACAUGUGAUGAUAUUUCAACCAUAUAAAAAAAUCCCGACACACGUGAGAAAGGACACGUGAUAUGUGUUCGAUGAAGUGGUAGAGCCAAGGGUGCUUAUUAAUGGAAAAAAAUUAUUUAGGCCCUUUAUAAUUUAUAAAAUUUUUAUAAUUUAUAAAAUUUUAAAUUAAUAAUUGUAAAAUUACACUUUAAUCCUAAAAAAGAUAAAAAUUUAAUUUAAUCCUUUAAAAAAGGAUAAAGAUAUAGACUAUUAAAAUGGUAAAAUUGUAUUCUUACUAUCCUAAAAAUAUACAAUUAAAUUUUGAACCCCAAAAUUAUUUUCUGGCUCCACCCCUAGUUAAAUCCAUAUGUGAAUUAAUAACACAUUAGCCCAAAUAAAUGUGAAUGAAUCCAUAUGUUUAAAAACGAUAAGGGUAAAUUACACUAUUAAUGCCUCAAUUAUGUGUCAUUUAGUUAAAAGAGUUACAAUUUGGAUACUAAUGUUUUCAAAAUUAUUUUUUUCACCCAACUAUUAAAUAGCUAACAAUCACACUUUUUUUAGUUAGUAUAAUGACAAUUUUAAUUCUUAGAUUUUAUACUUUCUUUCAAUUUAACCCUAAUUCUUUAUAAAAAUUAUUUUAAAAACUCAAUAUAUUAUUUUAAAAAAUAAAAAAUUCUAUAUAAAAAUUAUGGUUUCUGCAACAACAAAAUAUUCAGCAUUGCCAUAAAUCAUGAAAAUGGAUUAAAAAAGAGAGAUCAAUUUCAAUCUCUUAAUAUAAUAUUCAUUUUGUGCAAAGUUUGAAUGUGAUUAAAAACUAAUGUUCAUUCAAGAAAAACUUAAUAUUAUACUACAGUAAAGCUCAAGAUUGUUCAAUAUUGAGACAUAAGAAAGAAAAAGAUUAUUCAAUAGAAUCCAAUUACAAAUUUAAAACAAAAUAGGACCAAAUUAGUAAUACCUUCAAGUCAAGUUCCACUCUAUUGAAGAACUUCUUUCAAACUAAUCUCACUAAGACUUGUGAAAUUGACUUUGAUGCCAUUCUUUUAGUAAAAAAUACAAAAUAUACCAUAAAAUAUUCUUUUGUUGAUCUAAAACAGUUGCUAAGUAAUAAGCAAAGUAUAAGCAGAAGUGACUACAAAAGUGUGUACUUCUGCAAGCACUGCGAUAAGCAAAAAUAAAAUAGGAAACAUCAAAGUUUGUUUACGCAGCUCAAUUUCCAUGCAUUUGUGAAGGCUUGCUCAGUGAGAAGAAUCACUAUAUUUAAACAAUUACAACUAGUGAACCUAAAUGUAUCACACUCCAAUGAUGAUUCCUCACUCUUGUACCUUCGAAGACUAGAUCACUCACUACUAAAUUCUCCCUCAGAGAACUUAGUUUGCAAAACCACAAUACAGAAUUUUACAAUCACAAAUGCACUCUUGCAAAAUAAUGUUCCUCACUUGAACAUAUAAAUGCUCUUAAUUAAGAAUUUGUGCAUCAACCUAUACAAGUCUCUUAAUUACAUAGAGAUUUCGAGACUUGUUAACAUAAUGAAAAUCUAUCAAUCCUUACUAAACAACAACUAAAAUAGCUAAAUACAAUAUAAUAUUAACAACCACAAUAAACAUUGACAGUUGGCAGCUAACUCUUCACUUUUUUGAUCUGAUCCAACUUCCUUUAUCCAUAGGACUUGAUAUAAGCGAUCCAAUCCAACCCGACCCAAUCUUCUAAAUAAAUUUCUCCAAGUGAUAUGAUAUUUAUUGAUGAGCUUGAUUCAUCCCACAAUAUCAACUUAGCCCAAAGAUACGGAUCAAUAAAUUGCCAAUCUUCCAAAUAUAGCAAGUUGUUUUGUCAUAGUAGUUGGGGUAGUGGGCAAUUCCCAUAAUACAUUUCAACAACUUCAAAUAUUUCAACAUUUUUCAAAAUCCAAACCGAAAAAACAAAUCUUUUUUCUCAUUCUUUUUAGAUGAUGAAAAAUAAUUUCCUUAAUUUUCUCUCACUUAUCUAUUUUUUAAAAUUUUUUAUCUAUUUUUAUUAAUUUUCAAAUUUAUGUAUUUUUAAGAUUUUCUAAUUUAAAAAAAAAAACUCAAUUUUUUUAUUGAAUCAAGGGCAAAUUAAUAGUCUAGACACGUUUGGUAGGCUUGAUGUAAAAGAGGAGUGUUAUGUUAAAUAACACUCAACUCUAAAAAUGAUGGAUAAAAGAUCAAUGCUACUACAUCAAAUUGUUUGGUUAUUGAAAAUUGUGAUAUAUAUAUUACUUUUCUUACCAUGUGUUUUUCGAUACAAUAUUAAGGGUAGGAGAUGGGGGUAAGACGGUUCUCACUUGUGCCCAACAGGUGUUCGAUACAAUAUAUUAAUCUUCUUACCAUGUGUUUUCUAUAAGUUAAAACAUAAGUGUUGUUUAUUAAUUCAUCAUCUUACCCUUAGCAUCUUUUUUUAUAUAGUCUAAAAUAAAAUAUAAAAUAUAUUAUUUACAAAAUAUUUACAUUAAAAUAUAAUAAAAUAACAAAAUAAAAAAUAUUAUAACAAUUAAUUUUAUAAAAUAUUAAAACAAUAAAAUAAAAUUAUUAUUGUUUAAAAAUAAUAUAUUAUUAUUACUUUUUAAAAAAAUAAUAAAAAUAUUUGUAUAUUAAUUUAUAUAAAUAAAAAUAUUAAAAUAUAUGUUUUUAUAUUAAUAUUAAUAUAUUAAUGUAAAUAUUAAAAUGAAUAAUUUUAAUAUUAGUUUAAUAAACCCGAACAUGAACAUAAAACAGACAUAGAGAAUAACAAAAAAUAAAAUAAAAUAUUUAUAUAAUUUUAUAUUAAAUAUAUAAAAUAAUAAGACAUACUUUUUAAAAAAUAACUAGAUUUUCUAAAAGGAAAAAUAACUAGUUUUAACCUCUGCUUUCGUGGGGGUUUCUAAUUUUCUUUAUAAAAUUUUAGUUAGUUAAUGUAAAAAUUAAUUGUAAAUUAAAUUUUAUUAAUUAUAAAAAUUAAAAUUUUCUCAGAUCAAGUAUAAAUAUAAGUUAAUGCCUGACUUAACUUGUAGAUCAAUCACUUUAACUUGUAGAUCAAUCACUUUAAAUAAAUUAUUUAAAUAUAAAAAAACUCCUUACAUGUUUUUUUAUAUAUAUUGAAUAUUCACUUGUUGAAUAUCAAUUCCUUGAACAGAUGUAACUAAUAUUAGGUUGUUGCCCGACGUUUGUUUGUUUGUUUGAAACAAGGAUCAGUGGCUGGCAGUAGAGCUGAUAGAAUCAUUGCAAAAUUAUGUCUCCUUAACUCUCGAAGCUAAUAGUUUUCUUUGUUCUGCAAUAUACGUUAGUCCGCAUCCAAUAUGUUGAGAUGUAAGUUGUGGAGUUUUUUUUUGGAGAACUUGGCAAAGUCGGUUGUCGAACCUUGGGUUUUAGCUUGCGACUUUUAUGCGAUCUUGGAUGGCUCAGAAAGGAUCAAGGGUAGUCCAUCUUCGUGAGCGGGUUGCAAACAGUUUCAGUCGUUCAUUUUUUAAAGUGGGCUGCGCAAUUUGGGAUUUAGUGCCCACAAUUUACUUGGAGUAGAGGAAAUUUAUCACAGCGUUUGGAUAGGGCUAUUUGUAAUUUGGCUUGGGAUUCGUUUCUGCCUAGUUCUUUGAUGCGUAAAUCUUCACUAUUUGAAGUCGGGUCAUCGUUCGAUUCUGCUUUCGCUUUGUCCUACGCAAAACAAAGGUAAUAGGCCAUUAAGAUGUAUAGCAAGUUCGAUGUUACAUGCUGAAUUCAAGUCUCUUGCCAAGAUUGUUGGAAAAAUGAGUAGGUGGGGUUGAACUUAGAGCGAUUCCAGGAGGUGGUUUAGGUAUGGAUGAUAACAUCUUUGUGCAGAAUAGGAAGCUAGUGUCAGAACUAGAGUGGGUGCAAAGAGUAUUGGAUUUGGGACCUUCAUUGAGAAUCCGAGCUUGUGAAUUAGAAUUGCGCCAUGUAACCUCCCCAACUCAGCUUAGACGUUAGACCCGAAUUUGAAAGAUUAUAUUGGCCACUGAGAUGGCCUAAACAGAGUUAUUGGAGUUUUAAAAUGGUCAAUUUUAAAACUCUUGUUUAUUUUAGAAGAAAAAUUAGUUUAUUUUCGGAAAGCCAUAUGAGUUAGUAAUAACUGAUUUUUUUAAUGUAUUUCAUGUAACGGUGUCCAUCUUAGUUAAUUUAUUAUCUUUCCAAAACUUAUUUUCAACUUUAACAGCGAAAAAGUUAUAUUAACGUAAUUUUAAUAAAAAUCAUGCUUCAUACAUAAUUAAAUAAAAAUUCAUAUUCUACUAGCUUAAAUGGUUUAUAUGUCAUGCAUGCCUAAGUAAAAAUCAUAAACUAAGUCUCGUGCCACAAUUCAAAAUAAAAUAUUACAGUCUUUAAAUAAUAAUAAAAUUUCAAAUAUAAACUUAAAAAUAUUUAUUAAAAUCAAGUUGGGCACCUCUGAAUGUCGAGUCUACGUCCUAACCUUGCAGGCUAUCUAAAAAGAUAGGAAUAAAAAGGGAGUGAGCUAUGAAGCUUAAUGUGAUUUCCAUCACAAGAAAAAUCGGUGCAAACCAUAGACAAAUCUACAGAAAAUUAAUUCAUUAAUUACAUGACAUUUACUUAGUCAGAUAGAAUAUCGAUAAUUCAGAAUACCAAUCAACAUAACAACUCAAUGUUUGUAGCCAUGUAAUUGCUUAUGAAUGCAAUGCAAGUUCGAUUUAAUAGUAAAAAGGUCUUACCUUACCAUUAUACACCAAAAUAGGAGUUCCCUAGAACUCCUCUACCUUCACACCACAUUGUGGAUAAACCAUUGAUCGUUGCAGAUAAUUGCUAACGAUAAGAUAUUAGUGGAUGAACCAUCCGUCGGUGCAGAAAAAAGCUGCUAGUACGUUGUAGAUGAACCACUAGUCGUGCAAGUGACUACCGACUAGGAUACAUUGUUGAUAAACCACUAGUCAAACAGAUAAAUUGUCGACUACUUCCUUGUUCAAAUCAUCUCACCCCAUACAAUGCAUCAAGACAUGUUAUACAAUUCAAUAUGGUAGCAAAUAGUUUGCUUUUAACAAAUCAAUUCAAUCACAAAAGUCAUGCUUACUAAGCAUUCGAUUUAAUAGUAGCAUAAGGUAUGCUUAAAACGGAUUGAAAACCGAUAUGGCAGCAAUAUUUAUGUUCUCAACUAAUCGAUACGGUGGCCAAACAUAUACUUUUCAAAAAGAAUCCAAUCUAACGAUAUCUUAAAACAUGUUAUACAAAUAUCAACAAAUAAAGAUUCAAUCAACACAAUUAUACACAAUUUAUGCAAGUACAAACUAAUAAAAAAAUAAUUCAGUCAAUUAGGGCAUGUAUUAUAGCAUUAUUUAUGUUAUUAGGGGCUUAAUUGAAUAAAUUAAACACUAAAAAUAAUUUGGGAACCAAUUAAGGACUAAAUUGUGCAGUUUGAAAAAAGUUUGGGUUAAAAUUGUAAGGAUAUAUUAUAGGGGACACACGGUCGUGUGGGUCACAUGGGCGUGUGGUCUGGGCUGGGUUCGAUUUUGCCCCAAUUUUCUAACAAAAGAACACACAUAUAACUUUUGAGGUCUCGUACGAUGAUCCUUAUGUCCAAAAUUGGUCUGGGAUACCUACAAUGGGUCUUUCAAUCGACGAAAAUGUAAUAAUUACUAUUGAUGUUUAAGAUUUAUUGAGUUUUAACAAGAUUUCAGGAAAACCCAUCAAAGAUUCAGAAUUGAUUUUAGAAAAAUUAUCAAGAACGAUAUUAUACUAGAUUUCUAGGGUUCUACAAAAUUAAAAAUAGGAAUUCUUACUGAUCUUGGCAUGUUAGAAACAGAUUUUGAUGGCUUUACACUAAAACAUUAUGAAGAACAGAUUGAACGAGGUUGAUUUUGUGUACAGGAUUUGAAUAUAACAUUUUCAACAAAAGAUGAUGAACAUUUUUAUGAAAAAGAGAAGAAGUAAUAAAAAAAAAGAUGUAUUUAAAAAGGAGGGAAAAAUAAAUUCUAAUUAGGUUUGAAAAGAUAGCCAAAAUCCUAAUAUAACUAGGAAAUGACUUAAAAGGCUAAGUUAUGCAAAUUUUAGGGGCUGUUUUGGCAAAUAAACCUUCAUGUUGAAAUUUAAAACAAAAGGAAGGGAAUUGGCAUGGAUAGAACUUAAGACUUUAAAGAGGAUGGGGUAAUGCUUAGCCAUUGGUCUAUUGCACAUUUCUUAAAUAUUUUCUACCACAUUUAUUUUUUAUACUAACUUAGUUUUCAUCCUUAAUUGCUGAAAAAUAAAAAGGAAAAAUGCAAAAGGUGGGUUAGUGAAACCUAAAGGGGUCAUAUUGUGAUUUUUGAGUUAAGAUUAGGAAAUUAUGCUAUGUAAUUUGUUCUAGUUAAGUGGUUAAGGGUUGUGCUUGAGUGAGAAAGGUUUUAGGUUUGAAUCCUUUCGCUUCUAUUUUUGUAAAUUUUGUCUAAAUCCCUAGUUUUUGGUAUUUGGUUUAAGAAAUAUUUGGGUGCAUCUAUUAAUAAGAAUGAGUCUAUUGGUUCAAUGGUAAGAUGUUAGCUUACCUUUUGGUCUUGUGUUCAAAUCCAUUCAUGCUUUUUUUCUCUCUUUUUUUUUUCUUUUGUUAAUUUGUGUAUCAUUCGUCCUUUGUGCUAUCAGUUUUAGUCAUUAAGGGUAAGGUUGCUUCAUUCUCCAUUUUUCCAGUCAUGUAUUGAAAUUAUUUCACUUGGCGUUUGAGGUUUCAGAGCUUUAGUAGUGUGGUAUUAAUAUGUGUUUUGUGUACUUAAUGAGUUUGAUGCAUUUUUAGAAGAAGAACGAGAGGUGUUGAGUGUUCCUUCGACAACUUAGAUAUUGUUGUUGUUUUCUUUAUGGUAGGUGCUUUAAUGUUAUGUUAGUGAGUCAAUCUUGAUUUAGUGUUGCAUUUUGUUACUAAUUAGAUACGUUUGGUAUAUUGCUUUUAGGUUCUGGUGUGUUUUUUCGUGAAUCUACAUCAAAAUCAGCAAUCAGGCGUGCGAUCUAACUCGAAAAACUCGUCGAAAAUUCAAAAAAUGCAAAACAAGAUCGACUGAAAUGCUUCAAUUCCACUAGUACUGAAAACUGAUACCUUUGUUGACGAAAGCGUAACCGAAAUCGAACAAGACGUAUUAAAACAGUAGAGAACGUAACACAAAAUUGGUGUCAAGAGAACUGAUUUUCAGAAGCAAUCGUUCAAUUUUGAAAAUUAGAAGAAAGAAAACAAGAUUGUCUAGUCAAAAGAAAGAAGAGAAAAGAAAACAAAAAUAGAAAAUGUGGGAUGGGGAAAAAAACAAAACGUGCAACAUUUGGGGGACUUUUUCUUUCCAACACAAAAUUAAAAUAAUAAAACUAAAAAUAAUAACUAUUUUAAUACUCAAAAACAAAAAUUACUUCCUUAAAGCACAUAUGAGGAUUCGAACCCAAAACCUAGAGGUAAAUCAACACAUAACCAACUACUGAACCAACAGGCUCAUUCUAACAUUAAAACGCGACUACAGACUCAACUACUCAGCCUACUCACUGACCCUACUACAAACCCCAAAACUUCUAACCCCAAAUUUCGGGAUGUUACAGUUAAACCGCAAUAUAUAUUUGGCAGCUCAGCUGCACUAUUAUGAGUGGCAUACCACCACGAUCUGGUGUGAUUUGGAUGAAUGGACUAUUGAAGUCCUAAUUGGUGUGAUUGGUUGGACGGAGUUGGUAUGUAGCAAAUAGAGGUAAGAUUUGUGUCUGCACUUGUUCUGAUUUGGUAUGACAUAUGUACUUAUGAAAACAUGACAUUCUGGUAUGAUAUAUUUGUAUAUUAAAUUAAGAUAUUCCAAACCAAAAUAUGUUCCAGUUAUAUGAUAUUAUGAUCUAAAAUAUAUAUAUGUUUCUGGUAAUACAACAUUCUGAUAUGUUAUUGAUACAUUAAAGUAAAAUUUUGUGAUCACAUUUAUGUAUGUGCUUGUUAAAUAAAAUUAUACUUGUGGGUUGAGGUACACACUAUGCUCCUAGCUCAUUUGUAUGUUUAAUAUGUUUCAGGUUAACUUCUAACUCAGGACCGUACGGCGUGCGGGAGCUCGAAUUGGUUACCAAAUAAAAUAUUUGUGGGUUUAUGAUUUAAUUAAUUUUGGACUGUAAUAUGUUUUUGGUCUUCGUUUUAUUCGUCGACAUUUAAUAUUUUUGAGCAUUAAACUGCAAAUCACACGAGCUAACAAGUUAGAUUUUGGUUUUCAAAACUAAAACAAACUUUGAAAAUAUUCCGCUGCAAGGUUAAGUAAUCAUUUAAAUACUUUUUGAAAAUAAAAUAUAUGGUUUGUAACGAAUAAUUUUUUUAAUACUGGAAAUGAUCACCUCAUGUUAGUACUUUCAAAACGUGUGAUUUUGAAUGUGAAUUAUGGGUUUUAAAUAAGUGUUUUCGAACACAGUUUUUCUAACCAUCUAUCGGUGUUUUGUCAAAAUUUUAUGUUUUCGAAGCAUGCAUUGAGUUUGAUUUGAACCGAAGCUUUGAACGAGUUGAUGUAAUCCUUUAGUAUCUAGUCAUAACUUCUAGGCCGGGUUUUGAGGUGUUACAACCCAAGCAUGUUGUUCUUUUUAGACUUCAGUUGAAUCCCUAUCAAGCCCACCAAAAUUUCUUCUUAACCAACUCAUAUCUAUCUAGGCUCCAAAGUCGUCUCUAGAACCCUUCUUAAAAGUUCCUCGCGUACGUCUCUCCAAUCGACUGCUUGAACUGACACAGUCACUUCCAGCCCAUCCACCGGUAACCUAAGCUAUAGUUGCAUGUCCUCCAAAGUGAUAGUACACACACUGCAUGGAAGGUGAAAUGUGUGCGUCUCUAGUCUCCACCUUUUCACCAACGCGUUUAAGAGUGUCGGGUCCAACUUACACCCCUUACCUACAAGCGCCACGUGCAAAAAUCGACGUCUCCAAAAUUUGAUAUUCUUCCUAUUGAGGUAAAAAAUAUACAAAAUAUUAAAUUCAAAUAUAAUAACAAAAUAGUAAAAUUAAACAACAUUGAAAUAUAAUAAAAAAUAUUCUUACCAUUUACAAUCGGUCGACGAAAAUGUGGUUGUCAUCAAAACGAAUUAGAGAUUUUGUUAUUGCUAAUUUCGAAAAACGCUAAAUAAUUUGUAAUAGAAAAAUAAUUUAUGAAAAUAUUAAGAUAAUUUUAAUAAAAAGUAAAGUUGAGAGAGAAAUAAUUUUUGAGUGGGAAUUGAAGAGGGAAUUUAGAAAAAUUUGAGAGAGAUUUAAGAAUGUGAGAGAGAGUUGAGAUAGAAUUGGAAGAAAACUGAAAUGAGGAGGGGUUAUAUAAGAAAUAAAAUGGGACCGUAAGGGGUGAGUGGGGGGUCCAAUGGCUAAUUAAAUAGUCGUUGGAGAAAGUAAUCAUUGGAGUUAUCGUUGGGAGAAAACGCUUCUAGCUAGAAGCUUUUUCAGUUGAUUUGGAAGAAAGCACUCUCAGUUGGAAGUGUUUUUCGGGCAACACAUUGAAAAUGCUUCGAACUAGAAGCGCUUUUCUGUAAAUUAGCUAAAAACACUUAUAGCUGGGAUUGUUUUUGUAAAAUUGACCUACUCCUAUAAUUUUUACAAAGACGACCUAUUCAAGUAAUUUUGCUUUUAGGCAUUUUUGGAUAAUUUAGUCCAAAUCCAUAAUUUUGACAUUGGAAUUUUUGAAAGUCUAUGGUAUGAGUUUGAAAUUUCAAAAACUCUAUUGUUAUUUAUAGUGAAUUUUGAGGAAAAGAACUUUCUAUAUAAUAAAAAAAAAAUUAACAAGUAUACUUAUGUUUGUCUCUAAAAUUUGCAAACAAAUAAAUAAUAGAAAAUACACCUUAAAUGUAUAAAAAUGAAUAAAGAAAAACCAUUUUCAUUUCUAAUAACAAAUGAAAAUUAAGAACAAGAAACUGAAGAAAAGUAGAUAUUUUAAAUGUAGUGAAAAUCAUCAUAUAAAUAAUUAAAACAAAUCAAUUAUUGAAACUUGAUGGAAAAUAUAUGACACAAAGACUUUCACUUUUUUCUAAGUCGUCCUCUAUCAUUUCAUGUCAUGUGGCUGUUAAUUCCCAAACAAAUGCAUGGGUCAUUGGCAAACCAAUUAGCACCAACUUGUUGCAAAGGAAGAUUCCCCUUUCCUUUUCAAUCCACUAAAAUACAAUUGAGAAAAAAAAUCCUCAUAAUUUAGAUCCAAUACUGCACUAAUCUCAUAACACAAAUCCUUUGGCUAAUAAACAAAGAAAACCCAGUUGUGUUAGAGUUUAUGCUUUCCAAGUGGUUGAAUCUUCCAGGCAGAUAAACUUUCAGAUUCCAUUUCUGUCUGAAAGUUUCUCCUUAUUUUAGUUCAACCUUGAUUUCUAUUUUGUUCCUUUUUCUUCUUCUUUUUUUUUUUAAUUUCCCUUUCUUCAAGUUCCUUUCUUUUUGUAUUAAGUUCUACUUACUUUUGCUCAAAAAAAAAGAAAAAAAAAAACCAACCUUCAAAUCCCUUUUGAUUAAUUUGAAGUAGUAAGAAUCUUCUCAAGACUAAGUGUAGUUUGAUUAAUUCUGAAGUUCCCAAUUGAGGUAAAUCUAUUUACAUUUGUGUUUAUAGGGUUUAGGGUUAAUUUCGAGGAAUGAAAAUUUGAACUCACUUUGUAUAAACUAUGAAAUUUUGAUCUUAUUUAUUGUUAAUUUCGAGGAAUGGAAAUUUUAACAUUUCUAAAAACAAAUGAAAAUUAAGAAAAAAUAUAUCAUACAAAUAAUUGAAACACCUCUUCAAAUAAAUUACCAAAUCCACUAAAGCAAUCACCAAAACUUCAAGAGCAUAGAUUUGUUCUUUUGUACCAUAUAAUCCUAAUAACUCUCAUUCUAAAUUGAUGGAUUAACUUUAAAUCAUUUUUAUUAUAUUUUUAAAUCAAUUAAGUUUUUCUUACUAAAAUUAUUAAUUUAAUGGUAAAUUUUUUUUCCAAUUUCUCUCAAAUUUGAAUUUGAGUAAAUUAGUCUCAUUAGAAAAAAUUGGAGUAACUUAAUCCCUUUACAAUUUUGAAUUUGAACAAAUUAGUCUAUCUCAAAAAAGAAAUUGGAGCAAUUUAAUCAUUAUCAAUUUUGAAAGUGAGUAACUAAGGACAAUUAAUCUCACUGUUAAUGUUUUUCAUCAAUUAUGCAUAAUUUUGAUUGGUAUAAUAACAAAUUUAGCCAUUGGUGUUUACAUAUUUUGUUAGUUUGGUCUUGAUUGUAAAAAGACCAACAAAUUCAGUCUCAACAUUUACACAUUUACAAAUAUAGGGGUUAAAUUUGUUAAAUCAUAAUUAAAUUGAUAGAAUGCUUUAGUUCCUCACUUUCUAAAUUGAUUCAAUUUUUAAGAGAGACCAAUUUGCUCGAUAUCAAAAUUGAUAGGGACUAGAGAGGUCAUCUUACCCAGUUUAAUCAUUAAAUGAUAUGUUACAUCUAAUAUGACAUAAUUUAAAAUGAAAAUUAAAAGAAUGAAUAUUGUAAAAGUAGAUGUUUUAAAAACCUUAGUUUUCAAGUUUUCGAAAUUUUUACAGAAGCAUUAUCAUUAAAUUUUUUUUAAAGUUUAGUUUUACUUAAAUUUUUUAAUGUUAAAAGUUAAAUAACAUUUAACUACAUAAGAUCUAAUGCGUGAUUUAAAGAUUGAAAUAACAAAAAUGACCUGAAUGAUAUAAUAUCGAUAAUUUAGAUCCCAACUUCAACAAUGCCUUGUUAAAAGUUAAGUAACAUGCCUUGUUGGUCUUUUUUGCAAACCAAUCAGUACCAACUUCAACAAUUUAGAUCUCAAUAUUGCAGUAAUUUCAGAACACGAAUCCUUCGGCUACAAGAAAACUCAGUUUUUAGUGGCGGAGCAUUGUAGAAAUUCAGGGGUCAUACUGAAAUAGUAAAAUUUUCCGAGCGGUUGAAUUUUCCAGGCAGAUAAACUUCAAUUUCUACUUGUUUAUUUUCCCCCUUUCUUCGAGUUCCUUUCUUUUUGUAUUCAGUUUUACUUACUUUUGCUAUAAAAAAAAAAACCAACCUUCAAAUCCCUUAUGAUUGUUUUGAAGUAAGAAUCUUCUGAGCACUAAGUGUAUUUUGAUUUUAAAAGUUCCCAAGUGAGGUAAAUCUAUUUAUAUAUGCUUCAUUUCUGUUUUUUAUAUAUAAAUUGUUCUCAUCUUUUUAUAUUUUUGUUGAAGCAAGUAAGAGCUAAAAGACUGUUUGGAUUUUGAAAUGGUAAGUGGAUAUGUUUAUUAUAUUUUCCAGCAUUAUACGUAUAAUAUUAUUAGUUUGAGGGUACAAAUAUUUUGAUUUAUUAUUUUUAUAAGUAAUUAACUGUCUUUUUUAGUUAUAAUUAUAUGACAUUACACUCCUAUAUGAUUUUAUUUGUUUAUUAAAUUUCUCAUUGUGUUUUUAUUUGUUGAAAAAACAGCACAUUUUGUGUUGUGCUUUCAGUUAGAAUGAGUUGAAAGAACAGCCCAUUGAUUCUCAUAGUUUGAGUUGUCUUUCACCUUCCUUGGUAUGUAUAAGAAGUAGUAUCUUAAUCUUCAAAAUACUUUUUGAUUCUUUAAUUUUUUUUAAUGGUAAUUACUUGUGAUUCACUGCGGUGUUUGAACUAGGAACAUCAUCAUAUUCUUCAAUUUGAGCUUGUCAAGCAUGGGUUGCGGAUUUUGUGGGGCUGCUCUUCCUAACAUCUUUGCAACACUGGUUGUGGACUGUGUGGUGAAGCCGCUAGUACGUUAAUUUGAUUAUGUCCGUCACUUUCAUGACAAUGUUGAAAAGCUCCGAGAGAAAAAGCAUGAACUUGCAGAUGCACGAGCUCGUCUACUACAUAAGAUUAAGGAUGCUAAAAGCCAGCUUCUACAAAUUGAAAAUGAUGUACAAAACUUGCAAUCAAGGGCAGACGAAACACUGUCGGAUAUGGGAACUCUGGAAGAGGAAAUCCAACUGAAUAAGAGGUGUCUCAAUUGGUGUCCUAAUUGUAGUUGGAGAUAUCAAUUAAGCAAGAAAGCAAUGAAGAAAAUCCAGGAUAUCUCUGAGCUUUUGAACAAAUUUGUCAACUUGGACCAGUCAGUUACCGUGCUCCUCUGCCCUUCCCACUGUAGGCUUCCUGUGUUCUAAGGAAUUUGUGGUUUCGAAAUCUUCGAAGGCUGCUUUCAAACAAAUCAUUGAAGCCUUAAAAUAUGAGAAUAUCGACAUGAUUGGGUUGUGGGGGAUGGGAGGGUGUUGAAGCUGAUCUCCAUGCAGCUGGUAUGAAGAAUGUGUAGCUAGAAGUUGGCCAUGCAAGCUCGUGACAAGCAUGCAGCAACUUUGGUUUCUUAUUGCUGUUGGAUUUGAACUAAUGUUUUGUUAUUUUGUAAUCUAGUUUGUAUCUUCAACUUAGUUGGUAAUUUUUUGAUGUAAUCCAUUGAUUGAUUGAUUAAUUGAAAUUUUAGCAAUACAACUUGGACGAUUAACUUAGCUAUUUUCAAUGUAAUAGAAUGGGGUUAGGUAUGUAAUUUGGUAGUCUUUUUGACUUGUACACUUCAUCUUUAGUUUUUCAUAUGUAAUGGAAAUAUGCUGAUGAUGUAUUAUGUAAUUACACAUCUUUUUCAUCAAGUUUUCUCAACUAAUUCCAUUGCUUCUUCUUCUGUUUUCUUUCUUCUUCUUUUCUUUUUGCUCGAAUUCUUCUUGCUUGGUUAGCAAGAAUCGUGACUUGCUGCUAAAGCUAUAGCUGGACCAGUUUCUUGCACGCUCAUUGACACCAACAAUUGGUAUCUAGAGCCUUUGUCUUAGAAGACCUGUGGUGUGUAAACCAUAACUCAAAUGGCUUCCUCAAGUUUUUCUCCUGCAGCUCCACUAGUCUUUAGUGGUGAAGGCUUCCAUAUUUGGCUGGUCAAGAUGAAAACAUACCUUCAGGCGUUUGAUCUGUGGGAAGUGGUGAACUCGGAUGCUGAGCCUACUCCAUUGAGGGCCAAUCCCACUGUGGCUCAGAUGAGGCAACAUGUAGAUGAGAGGACCAAGAGGCAAAAGGUCAUGUCCUGUAUUCAGAACUCUGUUUCUGAUGUGAUCUUCACCAGGAUCAUGACAUAUGAGACCCCGAAGCAGGCUUGGGACAAGCUGAAGGAGGAAUUCCAAGGCACUGAGAGGACUAGGCAGCAACAGCUUCUAAAUUUGAGAAGGGAUUUCGAGAAUUUGAAAAUGAAAGAAGAGGAAACUGUCAAGCAAUACUCUGAUAGGAUAAUGGCUAUUGUAAACAGUAUAAGGCUCCUUGGUGAGCAGUUUGAUGAAGUAAGGAUAGUUGAGAAGGUUCUCUCUACUUUACCAGAGAUAUAUGAAGCAAAAAUAUCCUCCUUAGAGGACUCGAAGGACUUGACAAGGAUCUCCCUGACUGAGCUUAUCAAUGCUCUCUAUGCUCAAGAGCAAAGAAGAGCCAGCAGGAUAGAGGAGCAUCAGGAGGGUGCAUUUCAGGCCAAAGUCAAGCCUAACUCGAGUAAUGCUGCCUAAAAAGGCAAGAAGAAUUGGAGGGAUAGGUCCAAAAUAGAUGCUCCAAGAAAAUGGGAUAGACCGUGCAGGCAUUGCAAGAAGCCUGGUCAUCCAGAGGCAAAAUGCUGGUUCAAGCCAGAUGCCAUAUGUCAACAUUGCAAGAAAAUAGGCCAUGUUAAAAAGGUGUGCAAAGAAAAAGACAGACCUGGUCAGAAUCAACCACAACAUAAGGCUGCUGAGGCUCGUGUAGCUGAACAAGGCAGUGAUAGUGAAGAACAAGUGUUUGCAGUCUCAUGCUUAGCUGAAAAAUGGAAGGUUACAAAAGGGUGGCUCCUUGACAGUGGCUGCACCAACCACAUGUCACCAGAUGCAUCAAUCUUCAAAUCUUUAGACAGAAGCUGUAAGACUAGAGUAAAAAUUGGAAAUGAACAAUGUAUUCAGGCAGAGGGCAAAGGUAAUGUGAUGAUAUGCACUCCAUCAGGUAACAAACUCAUAUCAGAUGUAUUGCUUGUACCUGAAAUCGAUAGAAAUUUGUUGAGCAUAGCUCAACUACUUGAGAGAGGAUAUACAGUGCUCUUUAAAGGAAAUAAGUGCCAGAUUAGUGACCAAAAAGGGUCCAUACUCAUGACAGUAGCCAUGACUGACAAGAUUUUUAUUGUGGACUGGAACAAUGGGCUAGAUAGCGUCUAUGCUGCUUCCAUAGAAGAAUCCAAGCUUUGGCAUCAAAGGCUUGGUUAUGCCAACUUUAAAUCAAUGGCCCGAAUGAUUAGCAAGGAUAUGGCUGAAAAUUUCAUCAAAUUAGUCCAAAAUGAAGAUGUUUGUGAAGUUUGUCAGUUGGGAAAGCAAGCCAGGCUUCCAUUUCCUACAAGAACAGCUUGGAGAGCCUCAGAGAAGCUUCAAUUAGUGCACACUAAUGUGUGUGGCCCCAUGAAGAUCGAGUCACUCAAUGGCAACAGGUACUUCAUUCUUUUCAUUGAUGAUAGUACCAGAUACUGCUGGAUUUACUUCUUAAAGAACAAGUCUGAAGUAGUUCAAGCCUUCCUGAAGUUCAAAACAGCAGCUGAGACAGAGACUGGCUGUACACUAAGGUCAAAAAGAUCAGACAAUGGGACUGAAUAUACUUCAGUUCAGUUCCAAGACAUUUCUGCAAGAGCUAGCAUCAAACAUCAACUAACAAAUGUGUACACACCUCAACAAAAUGGGGUAAGUGAAAGAAAAAAUAGAAGCCUGCUAGAUAUGGCCAGAUGCAUGAUAUUUGAGAAGAAUUUGCUCAAAAACUUAUGGGCUGAGGCAGUUAACACUGUUGUUUAUGUUCAAAAUAGACUUCCAACCAAAGCCUUAGAGCAAAAGACUCCAUUUGAGGCCUGGUUUGGAUUCAAGCCAUCACUGGCUCACUUAAGAAUCUGUGGUUGUUUAUGUUUUUCACAAAUACCAGCUGUUAAAAUAAGUAAGUUAGACAAAAAAGCACAAGCAGGCAUCUUGGUAGGUUAUAGCUCAGAGAAAAAGGGCUACAGGAUUUUGGAUCCUUCAACGAACAAGGUUUUUGCAAGUAGAGAUGUUGUGUUCAAUGAAAGAGCAAGCUGGAAUUGGGACAAGAAUGAACCUGAGGCUGUCUCUGAAGAUCUUGUGUUUGAUCAGAUUGAGCCAGAACAAAAUGAUCCAGAUAUGGAUUUUGAUGAUGUACCAAUCAGAGGUACCCGAUCUUUGGCUGAAAUCUAUGAGAGGGCACAUGUAGCCUUAGUAGAGCCAACAUGUUUUGAAGAGGCUGCAAUGCAUGAAGGCUGGAAACAGGCAAUGGCAGAUGAAAUUGCCAUGAUCGAAAAGAACCAAACUUGGGAGCUGGUUGAGAAGCCUGCUAACAGGAAAAUUAUUGGAGUGAGAUGGGUCUACAAGGCAAAGCAGAAUGCUGAUGGAAGUUUGAAUAAACUGAAGGCUAGUGUAACACCCCUAGCCCGAGUCCGAUCACCGGUUUAGGCUAUGAGGUAUUACCAAGCUAAACAUUUAAUUUCAGGCACAUAAUCUAUCAACAAAAGCAGAAAUCGAACUGAAUACAUACAGAUUUAUAAGUUAUAAAUGCCAAUUUCAUAUGGCCAAAAUAUUUACAAUACAAAACAUAACUAUCACCAGCCUAACCUAUACAUAUUUAUUUACAAUGAAUUCAAUUCACAUAACAUCUCAAAAUUUUGGUUCAUUUACUCAUUCGAAUGGUGAUAUGCCAUGCACCAACUAUAUAACUUUUUGCUAUAAGCUUGAAGCAUAAUUUAUUCGUCAUACAGCUAUAUUCAAAAGAAUCAAUUAAGUAUAGUACAGUUAUUAUUCACAUAUUAAGACAUUAUCAAGAUGUACUAAAUGUGACUAUCCGAACUUACCUCGGUAUAUUGGGACGGUUGUGGAUUGACUACUCUAUAGCUUUCUCUUUUCCCUUAUCCAACUUUGAUCCCCCUUGCUCUUGAGCUUAAUAAAUACAAAUAGAGGUGUUUAAUAUUUUGACCAAUUCUGUUUACUUAUUAUUCACAUUCGGUAAUCACAUAUCAAACUCGUUAUGUAUUAUAUUUUGUAAAUAUGCCAUAGUUCAAUUUCAUAUAUAUAUUCAUGACCAAAAAUGGCAAGAAUUUAUCAGGCCAUGAAAGUCACUUAUAACUCAAACUCAAAAUGACCAUAUGACAUUAAUAAACGAUUAUUCAACUUAUACCAAUUUCACAUUCACAAGCCAAACUCACAUAGCCUAUCUUUUUCUUUUUUUAUACACUAGUUUAACUACUACAAUAUUACCAAAUAAAUCACAUAUAUGCAGCACUAUACAAUUCACAUAUACAUCAACUAUCAAAAUUUUCACUCCUUAGCUAAUGCCGAAACAUUUGUUUAAAGAGGACCUAGCCGAACACCCUACUUAGUAAAAAGAAUCAUACAAAACACUAAUAGCCAACUCAAAUUCAUCUUUAAUAACUCUUCUUUAAUCAAGCACAUAUUCGGCAAGAACAUUGGUAAUUUAACAAAUUUUAAUUUAACACCUAAUUCUUUAUAACACAUUUUAAGCACCCCUUUUUACUCCAUCAAUUUUAAGCAUAUACAUUACUCAAACAUAACCAAAUUCACAUUCGGUCAUAGCACAUAACAAGAUAGCCGAUUAUUUUCCCUUAGCAUCUAAUGCUCCCAUAUGAUCAUUUGUAUAGUUCAAACACUCAUCUACCAUUAUUCAUCUAAAUUUACAUGAAACAACAACCAUAACCUUUAUUAACUACUAUGGCUGAAAGCUCUAAUCAUUCCCAAAAUAAAAAAUUCAACAUGGGUUACAAAAAGAACUUGGUAUCUAACUCAAGAUUAACCAAAAUUUCAAGAAUUAACAUAAACUUCUCACCUUAAUGUAGACCUAAGAUGACCGAAUGGCUUUUCUCCCCUCUUCCUCUUUACAUUCGGCCAAGAAGAACAAAGAUGAAGCUUUGUUUUCAUUACCCAUUUUCCUUAUUAUUAUUAUUAUUAUUAUUAUUAUUAUUAUUAUUAUUAUUAUUAUUAUUAUUAUUAUUCCUUUAUUUUAUAUAAAGCAUAAAACCAUUUAACUAAAAAUUAAUACAUAUUUUAAUAUGAAAUCAUCAUCAUAGCCGGCCACUAUUAACAAAAAGGGGUAUUUGACAUGCAAGUCCAAGUUUUUAUAACAUGCAUUAAUGGACCACUUUUAAAAUUACCUAUCACAUUUCACAAUUGUCUCACAUAAGUACUAUUAAAUAAAUUCACAUUCAAAUGGAUAAAUUAAAGAUUGGAACUUUCACACAUGCAUGUUCACGCACAAUAAGUAUAGAAAAUAAUGGUUAAUUAUUUUUAUGACUCGGUUUUGUGGUCCCGAACCCACUUUCCGACUAGGGUCAAUUUAGGGCUGUCACAGCUAGGCUGGUGGUAAAAGGAUUCAGUCAAAAAUAUGGACUGGAUUACUUUGAAACAUAUGCUCCUGUUGCCAGACUAGAUACAAUCAAGCUGAUUGUUGGGUUUGCAGCUCAGAUGAACUGGAACAUACAUCAACUUGAUGUAAAAUCAGCUUUUCUAAAUGGAAUCCUUGAAGAGGAGAUCUAUGUCGAGCAACCAAAGGGAUUUAAAGUACCAGGGAAGGAAGACUUGGUUCACAGACUAAGGAAUGCCUUAUAUGGCCUAAAACAAGCCCCCAGAGCAUGGUAUGCUCGAAUUGACUCUUAUCUGCUCAGUUUGAAGUUCGAAAGAAGUGCUAGUGAGCCAACAUUGUAUGUCAAGAAAAACAAAACUGAAACUCAGCUUAUGGUGUCAUUGUAUGUGGAUGACUUAUUGGUGACAAGAGGAGAUGAAGUUGAUUUGGCAGAAUUCAAGACAAAGAUUAUGCAAACGUUCAAAAUAACUGACCUGGGGCUGAUGACAUACUUCCUAGGAAUGGAAGUAAGCCAGAAACAAGGAAGAAUCUUCUUGAAUUAGAAGUCAUUUGCAUUGGAAGUGUUGACAAAGUUUUCAAUGCUUAAUUGUAAGCCAACUCCUACACCUAUUGUAGCUGGGUUAAAAUUAUCAAGCCAAGAGGGUCAUGAAGAAGGCUGUAAAACUACCUAUAGAAGCUUGAUUGGUUGUCUCUUAUACUUGACUGCAACGAGACCAGAGAUCAUGUAUGCAGUAAGUUUACUUUCUAGAUUCAUGCACUGCUGCAAUGUACAACAUUUUCAAGCUGCAAAACGAGUACUGAGAUACAUUAAAGGUACUCUAAGUUAUGGUCUCCUAUUUAGCAAGGCUAAGGAACUGAAAUUGAAAGGGUAUACAGAUAGUGAUUGGGCUGGUUCCAAUGACGACAUGAAAAGUACAUCGGGGUAUGCCUUCACAUUGGGGUCAGCAAUGGUCUGUUAGAGUUCGAAAAAGCAGUCUUUAGUGGCUCAAUCGAUAGCUGAGGCUGAAUAUGUAGCUGCUGCUAGUGCAGUAAAUCAAGCCAUUUGGCUAAGGAAAAUCUUAUCAGAUUUGAACCUUUAUCAAAAGGAAGCAACAGAGAUACUUUGUGACAACAAGUCUGCUGUUGCAAUUGCAAAGAACCUUGUCUUCCAUGGUAGAACUAAGCACUUUGACAUAAAGUUGCAUGUGAUAAGGGAAAUGGAGCAAGCUUGUGAAAUAAAGCUGGUUCAUUGCAAUUCGGAGGAUCAAACCGCUGACAUUUUGACCAAGGGUCUUUGUGCAUCGAAAUUUAACAAGCUAAGAAGACUUAUGGGUGUUUGCAGCAUGGAGCUCAAGGAGAAAUGUUGAAGCUGAUCUCCAUGCAGCUGGUAUGAAGAAUGUGCAGCUGGAAGUUGGCCAUGCAAGCUCGUGACAAGCAUGCAGCAACUUUGGUUUCUUGUUGCUGUUGGAUUUGAACUAAUGUUUUGUUAUUUUGUAAUCUAGUUUGUAUCUUCAACUUAUUUGGUAAUUUUUUCAUGUAAUCCAUUGAUUGAUUGACUGAAAUUUCAACAAUACAACUUGGACAAUUAACUUAGCUAUUUUCAAUGUAAUAGAGUGGGGUUAGGUAUGUGAUUUGGUAGUCUUUUUGACUUGUACACUUCAUCUUUAGUUUUUCAUAUGUAAUGGCAAUGUGCUGAUGAUGUAUUAUGUAAUUACACAUCUUUUUCAUCAAGUUUUCUCAACUAAUUCCAUCGCUUCUUCUUCUGUUUUCUUUUUUCUUCUUUUCUUUUUGCUCGAAUUCUUCUUGUUUGGUUAGCAAGAAUCGUGACUUGCUGCUAAAGCUAUAGCUAGACCAGUUGCUUGCAUGCUCAUUGACACCAACAGAGGGGUGGGCAAGACCACCUUGGCUCGUGAAGUUGGAUGUCAAGCUCCAAAACUGAAUUUGUUUGACAAAUUUGUGAUUACGACUGUGUCUCAAAAGCCAAAUCUUGAGAGAAUUCAAGAUCAAAUUGCACAAUACAUAGGCUUUGAUAUGAAGAAUGAACGAGGAAGAAGAUCCGAGCAAGAAUUAUGGUUAAGGCUGAAGAAUGAACCGAGGAUUCUUGUCAUCCUUGAUGGUACAACUUGACUGUUUGGAUGAUGAUGAAGCUUGGACUCUGUUUGAAAAAAAAGCAGGUCUAAAUGACUUUUCUGAUGAUUCUAUUAAAAUCCUAGCAAAUCAAAUUGUCACAAAAUGCGGGGGUUCGCCUAUAGCUAUAGUUCCGUUGGGAAGUGCCUUAAAAGGUAAAACCCAUCAUGAGUGGCAAGUUGCAAACCGGAGACUCAAAGAUCGUAGAUUGACUGAAAUUGAGGAUGUUAAUGAAGAAAAUGCCUAUGUAUGUCUUGAGGCUAGCUUCGACUACUUGAAGAAUAUGGAGACCAAGACAUGUUUCUUGUUGUGCUCUUUAUUUCCUGAAGAUGAUGAGAUUUAUGUGGAGAACUUGGUAGGAUAUGCAUGGGGACUGGAGUUGUACUCAAUUAAAGAUGUUAGAAGUGAAGUGCUUGCAUCAAUUGAGACCCUCAAGAGCUCAGGUUUGUUGCUAGAUUGCGGAGAAAGGCAUGUCAAAAUGCAUGAUGUGGUUUGCCAAUUUGCUUUGUGGAUAGCAUUUUCAAGAAAGGAGAUAUCUUUUGGGACUGUUGAAACACUCCUGAUGGAUGAAAGUUUCAAGCAUUACACAGCAAUCUCCUUCGAAACUGAUCAAACGGAUGAACUUCCUAAAGGAGUGGGUUUUCCAUACCUCAAACUUCUUUUAAUUGGCAGUUUCAUGGAAUGUUCAAGCAAAUUCUUUGAGGGUGUGAAAGCAUUACAAGUUUAUGCUUUGGAAGAUCAUAUCUCUAGAUGCGUUUAAGUUUAAUAUGAACAUUCGAAUUUUGUGUUUGAUUGAUUGUGAACUCUCUGACAUCUCAAUGCUUGGGAAGCUAAAGACACUUCAUAAUCUCUCUUUAAGUCAAUCUGAUAUCACUGAAUUGCCGACUGAAGCUGGUGAUUUGGAAAAUCUAAGGCUGUUGGAUUUAUCGCAUUGCUAUGAACUAUGAAGAAUCGCUCCUAAUUUAAUACGAAGAUUGUCCAAUUUAGAAGAACUAUACUUGCAUGGGUGUAGUUCAUUAAAAUGGGCGACUGAGAACACAACUCAAAGAGAAAGCUAUUCUAGCCUGUCAGAGUUGGAUUUAUUACCAAAGUUGGUUGUAAUAUCAUUGGAUAUUUCUUCUAAACAUCUUCCAGAUGGCUUUGUGUUUCAUAGAUUAUGGAGCUUUGAUUUUUACAUUGGCAUUGAAAGAGAAAUGUGGUACCAAAAGGGGGAAGCUUAUCCAAUCUCAAUAUCUUUGUGAAUCAAUAACUCUGUAGAUGCAUGCAAGCAACUAUUUGAAGAUGUAGAAUCUCUUCAAUUGAAUGAUGUGGAGGGUCACCCAAACCUUAUUCCGAGCUUGAACUUGAGAUUUAGUAAGUUGACUUUUCUAGAUCUUGAUUGGUGCGACUCUAUGCAAUGCCUAAUUGAUGCAUCAAAGAAACUGGUGCCAAUCACUGUAUUCUCUAAUUUGAGAAAGUUAUCAUUAAUUAAUAUGUUUGAUUUGGAAGAGAUGUGCAAUGUUCCCCAGCUGCAAGGUUUCUUACAAAAGCUUGAAGAGGUUAUAGUUUCAGAUUGUGAUAAGAUGCAAAUGUUAUUCCCAAUUGCUGAAUUGGAGAGCCUAGAACAAGAAGUGCCCAGCCGUCAUUUAAGCCUCCAAAGUCUGAAGAUCGUUGAAAUAGAGAGAUGCAAUAAUUUGAAAUAUAUCUUCCCAGUUGCUAAUAGCCCUGGGCAAUUGCAUGCUUUGAAGAUAAAGAGUUUUCGGAGCUUGGAAGGCAUAAUCCAAGACUCACAAGUGCCAUACAUAAGUAUUCAAAGUUUAAGGGAAAUUGAAGUUGAAAAAUACGAUAAUUUAAAGUGUCUCUUCCCAGUGUCUGUUGCUAAUAGCCUUGGGCAAUUGCAUACUUUGAUGAUAAAGAGUUGCCGGAGCUUGGAAGGCAUAAUCCAAGACUCACAAGUGCCAUACAUAAGCCUCUAAAGUUUAAGAGAAAUAGACACUACAUGAAAAUAGGGCUUUAGCGGCGUUUUAUCAAAAAACGCAGCAAAAAUUGUAAAACACAGAGCAAUAGCGGCGUUUUAGUAAAAAACGCCGCUAAAAACAGAGCAUUAACGGCGCUUUUGGUAAAACGCCGCUAAAGACCCGAGCAUUAGCGGGGCUUUUGGUAAAACAACGCUAAAGACCAGAGCAUUAGCGGCGCUUUUGGUAAAACGCCGCUAUAGACCAGAGCAUUAGCGGCGCUUUUGGUAAAACGCCGUUAAAAGUCAUAUAACCCCUAAACCCCAAAAAAAUCAUAAACACUAAUGUAUAACCCCUAAAAAAAUAUUUAUUAAAAUUUAUGGUUAUACAAUAUAUUAAAUAUUUUCUUAUAUAAUCGUAAAAGAGAUAGUAUUGAAUUUAAAAUAUUAAAUUAAUUAUCAUUAUAGUUUAAGGUUUAUGGUUUAAGAUAUAUGGGUUUAAGGUUUAUGAGUUAACUAUGGUUUAGGGUUUAAGGUUUAAGAGUUAACUAGUAUUUGAAGGUUUAUGAUGAAUUAUGAGUUUAGGGAUUAUGAUUUAAGGUUUAAGGGUUAGGGUUGGAGUUUAAGGUGUAAGGGUUUAGGGUUAAGGGUUUAGUGUUUAUGGGAUAUGGGUUAAGAGGUUUAGGGUUUAGAUUAAUUAGUAUUUUUUAAUUUAUAUAUUAAACGAUUUCUUAUAUAAUUGUAAAAGAGAUAAUAUUAAUUUGAAUAUAUUAAAUUUAUGAUUAUAGUUUAAAUUAUUUAAGAGAUAAUAGUAGGGUUUAGGGGUUAAGGUUUAGGGAUAAAUAUAGUGAACUACUUAACUUGUGUAUCUUGGAUUUUUUUAUAAUAUAAAUCUAAAUAAGAUAAAUAUAAAUUAUUAUUUUAAAAAUAUAUAUAUCAAAAUGGGUUAAAUCCCAAAAGCAUAAAUUAUGAACACAAUUAUUGAUAUAACAUCAUUUUAUAUUUAUAUAUUGCAUACAUAAAUAUUUAUAUUUAUUCAAUAUAAAAAUAUAUUGAUGUAUUUAUUUUUUAAAACGUGUAUGAUUAAAUUAAAAUUAAAGUUUCAACUAUACAUUUAAACCACAAUUAGAAUUUCACGUCUAAAAUUACACAUUAAAUUGAAAUUCAUAUAUAAUUAUGAGAUGUAUCUCUAUCAAAAUUUAGGUGUAUACAUAUAAUUAAAUAUAAUUUAAAUUAUUUAAGAGAUAAUGAUAAAGUUUAUAUAUAUUAAAACAAAAUAAAAGAUUUUUAAUAUAGCAAAAAGGUGGGAAAAUGGCUUUUUGUGGCAAAAUAAGCAACAGUGGCGUUUUUUAUAAAAAAACGCCGCAAAAUUUUUUGCCGCAAAAUUUUUUACAAGAAACGGUAUCUGUUACCCCAAAAUGCAUUAGACUUUUUUGUUCCCCCUUCCCCAAAAUCCCAAAAUUUGACAAGAAAUCUUUCUUUUUUCCCUCCUUUCUUUUCCCAAAAUCGGUUCCCUCCCCCUCCCAAAGAAAUCCUAAAAUUUCACUUGAAAUUUCUUCUCUUUUUUUCCCCAUUUUAUUUUUCCCAAACCAUUUCUCCCCUACCCCGAUUCCCUUUAUUUUUUCCCCCAAUUUCCCCAAAUCGGCAGGCCUCUGCAUCUCCGUCGGUAGCCCGCUGCUGUAUCUCUGUCGACAUCUGCUGUCAAGUAUAUUGAAAGGGGACCUAAGGUAUGUACUAGGAUUUUCUUUUCUUUUCUUUUUGCUUUCAUUUCAUAUUUACAGUUCUGAUUUCUUCGGUUAAUGUUCUUGAUAUUGUAUCUGUUUGCAUUUUCUUUUUAUUCAUAGGCUAAAUUGGGCUCCUUUUUUCUUGUUUAGACUCAAUGGAUUGAUUUCAAGGGUUUCUUUAACUAGUAAACUCCCCUCUCUCUCUUUGUUUACUAUCACUGUUUUUACUUGUAAUUUUCAUAUUAAUAACUAUCUCUUCAAAUGGGUUUUCUUUUCAAUUUAUAUGCCAUCGGGGAUAGACCUCUUUAGUCUUCGAAAACACUUUCCCUGAUCGUUAAUUUUACUGCAGUUGCCCAAUACCUUGAUAUCCAUGGCGAGAAAGGCAUCUUCUUUUAAAAAGAAAAAGAAAAAUAGCUUAAUUUCUUCUAUAAAAGGGUCAUAGGUUACUACUGAAAGGGGAAGAGGGCUAAACAAGGGUGCAAGAAGGAAAAGUUUUUUCUCUAAAAAGGUACUCUUGUUCUCUUUGCUUAAAUGGAAAAGAACUGAGGAGGAUAUUCUUCUUCUUUGAAAUUUAACUUUAAAUUUAUUAGGAUUUAUGUAGUUUGUUGCAGAUCUGCUAUAGUUUCAAAUUGAACAUCUGGUUUCUAAUUUAGAUCUUAUUAUCUUUUUUAUGUUUAGUUUUUUUUCUCUAAUUUAUCAUUUAUCAUUUUUUCUCUUAAAUUCUCAGAGUAUACCGUCUGCAAAACAUGGAGGGUAAUGGCAAUGAACAACCAAAAUGUCAAAGAAGUUUUGAUCAUCGUGGGAGGAAGAAUGUAAUUUGUUUUUGAAAAAGUUUCCUCUUUUCUCAUAAUUGACUACUGAACACUUUACCUCUUUUUUUGUCCUCCAUAUGCAGAAUUGCUGGGAGUUAGUUAUCCAGAUUUUAUGUAUGAUACUGGAUGAUAAUACUAUUCCGAAUAUAGUAACGUUUUCUCUUCGCUUUAUAGUUUUUCUUUUAAAUUCUUUAUUAUUAUAAUUCGUUUUCGAUAAAAUUUCAAGUAAAUAUUCCCUUCUAAAUUUAUUAUGCAGCGGUCUUGGGACAAAAAAAAAGAAGAGAAAUUAGAAGAGGCCUUGACGCAGCUGGAAGAUAUUAUGAUGAAAAAUGACUUGCUAGAGGUUGAAUCAUUUCUAAAACUGUAAAAAAAUUCAACUCAGAACGAAGAGUACUUAGUUCUUUAUUUAUUUGGGUUUGGGAUAUGAAUUGUGAGUUUUUGGUUUGUUCUUCACAAGGAUCUAUUUUAAGCUUUUGGGUUUUGUUUUUGAGUGUUUAGAGAAAGAGAAAUGGCUGGAAGUAAUGAAAUCAACCUCAACGAGUGCAAGGUACAAUAUUUUCUCCUUUUUUUUUUUCCAUUUACUCAUUGUUUAUAUUCUUUCUAGAAUUGGGUUGUCAAAGUUGAGUUCUAUAAUGAAUUCUUCAUAUAUUUGUUGUCCUCUCUUUUGCUUUUUGAUCUAACAAUAAUUAAUGCAGUCAUCUGUUUUGACAAUUAAUUUAUUAUGUUCUUCAUCAUAUAUAUGUUGUUGUGUUUAAGAUGCUAAUAAAAUCAAGGGAAAUUUCACAAAGGAGUUAUUUAAGUUAGAUGCAAGCUUAUUUCUUGAUAUGUGAAGGAAUAUAUUAUGUGGCCUAGUUAUGUAUAAAGAUUCAAUUAUAAAGAGUAUUUAGACUAUUUAUUUGAAUCUGUCUAAUUGUAUUAUUGAACUGUCUUAGUGAAUUAUGUGGUUUACUUGGUCUUUGUAGUCAAGAGGCUCAACUAGAGAUGGUACCGGAGUUCAUGACAGCAUUGUGAACCAGCUGCUUACCAAUGUCAGUAACUAGACCCAGGGACAGCUUCUUAGUCUUAAAAAUCAUUACUCUUUGUCUUGUGUCAUUUUCUUGGUUCUUGUGGUAACCAUGUCUUAUUAAUAUGACACUUUUAACUAAAGGAAUAAUUUGCUUUUCAGAUAGAUGGAGUGGAGUCUCUAAAUAAUGUUUUGCUUAGUGGAAUGACCAACAGAAAUGAUCUGCUUGAUGAAGCCCUUUUGAGGUUACUCCCUCCGUCCUCCAUCCCUCCUUUCUCUCUCCCCCCCACACACAUGCAAAAAGCAAGCUAUCUGUCUAGCUCUUUGUCACAUUGGAUCUUCCUCUAUAUAAGAAGCUUGAUUAACAACCAAAGACUAGAAACAAAAUAUUGAUGCAUUUUAUAGUUACAACAAACUGUUAGUUAUUAUGGAGAAUUUGAUGGCCUAUGAAUAAGGUUUAUACUUAUGAUCUGGAGUAAGCAUGCUGCAUUGUAAGCUAAGUAAUUUUUUAUGUGCAUAAUUUUGUGUGCUUUGCGAACUUUUUGGUUUGUGAUGGUUGAUGCAGUUACAUUAUGAACUGUCUUGUCUCUUGAUCUCAGCUAAAUCUUUGAAUACUUUUCUUCUGUAGGCCAGGACGUUUGGAGGUUCAAGUUGAGAUAAGUCUUCCUGACGAAAAUGGUCGUUUGCAGAUUCUUCAGAUUCAUACAAACAAGAUGAAAGAGAAUUCUUUUCUUGCUCCUGAUGUUAACCUUCAAGAGCUUGGUAUGUUUGUUAGUAAUUUAUGGUUGUGGGAUUUACAUUCUUUUCUUGUAUGGGAGAAUCAUCUGUUAGAAUGUCAAAAAGUGGGUUCAUUUUUAGAUAGUUUUGAUUCUUUGGCAUUUUCUUCCAUUUUUGUUACUUUGAAUUUGGUAUGAGCUUUUUGUUUUUCUUUCUUUCCAUAAAUGUAAAUGUGCUUAAAAUUUAUCUAAAAAUUCUCAUCGACAGAAAUUUUCAUAAAUUGUAUUAUCUGUUGCUGGUAGAUUGCCCAUUUAUUUAAACAUAAUAUUUAAAUUCUAAAUUUAAAUUCAUCAAUUUUUAUAUUUAGUUUUAAAGUUAAAAUUUUAAUAGAAAAUUUAAUUUAAUUAAUUUUUUUAUUUAUUUUAAGAGUAUAUAGUUUAAAGUUUCAAAAAUAAAAUAUAAUAUAGAAAAUAAAUAUUAUUUAAUAAAAAUAUAUUUUUUUAAAGCUUAUAUUCUUUAGUGGCGUUUGUGAGAAAAGCGCUGCUAAAGGUUUGUUCCGUAGCGGCGUUUGUAAAAAAGCGCCGCUGAAGGUCAUGGUCUUUAGUGGCGUUUGUGAAAAAAGUGCCGCUAAAGGUCAUGGUCUUUAGUGGCGUUUUUUUAAAUAAACGCCGCAAAAUUUUGCGGCGCCGUCUAUAGUGGCGUUUUUUGCGGCGCUUGUGAAAACGUCGCUAAAGGAAAAAAAACGCCGCUAAAAGUCUAUUUUCCUGUAGUGAGAAGUUGAAAAAUGCAAUAAUUUAAAAUACCUCUUCCCACUUUUUUUUGCUAAUAGCCUUGGGCAAAUGCAUACUUUGAAGAUAAAGAGUUGCUAGAGCUUGGAAGGCAUAAUUCAAGACUCACAAGUGCCAUACCUCCAAAUUUUAAGGGAAAUAAAAGUUGAAAAAUGCGAUAAUUUGAAGUAUCUCUUCCCACUGUCUAUUGCUAAUACCCUUGCGCAAUUACAUACUUUGAAGAUAAAGAGUUGCUCGCAAUUGGAAGAUAUAAUCCAAGAUCCACAAGUGGCAUACAUAUGUCUACUCCAAAGUCUAAGGGAAGUAUGUGUAUCUCAUUGCAAGAACUUGACAUCUGUUUUCCUUAUUGUCCUAUGGUUAAAGAUUGAGAAAUUUGAUUAUGCUUUUCAUUUCAAGUUUCGUUGAUUGGUUUGCCUCGAAGGGGUUUGAAUGACAUUAUACUCACACAAUCGUCUUUGCAAAAGUUAAAAGUGUACAAUUGUUCUCAAUUGACACAUUUUAUUAUUUCGACUAAGAUACAAAUAAGAUUUUUCUUUUUGUUUUAUAUUAUUUAUUUAUAUAUUUGUUUCUCUUUUUUUUUUAAUAAUUCGUUGUUUGAAUAGUUAUUUAAAAUAAAUUUUAUUCUAUAAUUUAUUGAAAUCUUCACCUUUUCAUAAUUUGUUGUCCAAAAUAAGUAAAUGUUUGUAUAACACUUUAAAAGAUAGUUUUCAUUUUAGAAUUUUAGUUUAAAAACUAAUCUAAAUAAACCUUUUAAGUAGUUUAGUUAAUUACAAUACCAAUUAGUAACAUAAAUAAAAUUUCAUUGAAUAAAUGGUUAAGACAUUUUAUUCUUAUGUUGCAAACUCUAUCUAGUAUGACAUAAUAUUAUUUAUGUUGUGUUUUUGCACCAUUAUUUUGGUGAUUUUUCAUUUUUUCAAAAAAAAAAUUGAAUUCUUUUGACUAUAAAAGAUUGAAAAAGAAAUCUUGGUUAAUGUUCAAACUGUAAGAAUCUAAUAAGUAAAAUAAAUUAAACCUUAAUUCUUUAAAAAAAAAGUUAAAAUAGGAGUUACAUAAGAAAAUGAAUUAAUAAAAUGAUAGGUGAGAUGUUAAUCGCUUUGAAUACUUUGAAAUUGAUGAUUGAUGAUAUGUUUAUAGGUAUUGGAGUUGUCGGAGAUGACAGAAAAGUUAGUCCCUGAAAUGAGAGGAGAAACAUCAACAAUUUCCAAUUUUGAAGAGUUAUUUGAUUUUAGAUAUAAUCUUUCAAGUCUGAAGACCCUAAACUUGUCCGAACUAACUGAAUAGCGGGUGAUAUGGAGUGCUCCCAUCCAAGUUGAUUACUUUGAAAAUCUCUAUCAAUUGACAGUCCAAGAUUACAGAAGGUUAAGAUACAUCUUCUCACCUACCAUCGUUCGAAAUUUGCCACAAUUGUCCAGGUUGGGUAUAUUUAACUGUGAGGAAUUGGAGCAAAUAAUUGAUAAGGAUCAAACUCCGUCACAACAUCAUCUCCAACCUAUUUGCUUCCCUAAUUUGAAGCAGAUUACAAUCAAGAGGUGUGAAAACUUGAAAUGUUUGUUCCCAAUUACUCUCGCUGAUGGCUGCCUUCAAAAACUAGCUAGAACUAACGCUUAGCGGGGUCUCCAAAUUAGAGCAGGUGUUUGAAGGAGAUGAGGGAAAUGUGAGUAAGGACGAAGAGAAAGUGAUACACCUACCUCAGCUCGGCUUCUUGGAGCUUGAUGGGAUACCAAACCCCGUGAGCUUCAGCCCUGUGGGUUAUCAUUUUAUUUUCCAAUCUUUGUGCAGUUUGGAAGUCACAUAUUGUCCCAACAUAACCACAAGAUUUAGUGUUGAUUCAGAGAAAUCAGUGCAUGCCAGAACACAGGUACACUACUCUUCCAAACUCAAUAAUAAGCUUUAAAACAGAAAUUCAUCCAUCGAAUUAUUUUCUCUAUGCAUUCUCUCAAACUCUUUAUUUACUAAGCUUUAAUUUCUAUGCAUUAAAACAAUAUUUUUAUUUUGGUUGUCUGAGAGAAAUUCUUUUCUUAUGCUUUAAAUGACUGUAAAUGGUUUCUGUUGGCUGUCAAUAUUUCUUUAUAGAUAUCCUUGUUGCAUUAUUAUUUUCAUUUCACAGUUCUUGGUCUUAAUAUGUCAUCCUUUGUCCAAUUUUGGAAAAUUGUCUUUUCUUUCUUCACCACCAAUCAUCAGAAGCAAACCGUAAUAAGUCAAGGUUUACAUUGUGUUGCAGGCAAGCCAAUCAGUUGAUGAAGUUAAUGGAGAAACUACAUUUCCAAUUGGUCGUGAUAUAGAUUGGUAUAAAAAUUUCAAUUGAAUGCCAUUUCUUUAUUAAAAGGAGUACAGAAGUGGUAGCCAUAUAGACUAGCAUAAGCAUUCAAUUGAAUCCCAUUUCUUUCUUACGAGAUUAAUUUCAAUGAUUAAUAUAUUAAAAAACCCUUAAACAUGUCCUUAAAUUUUUUAUUUGCCUUCAUCCUCAUGAGUUGCAGUUUUCUCACCUUCGUCUUUCUCUCACCCAACACUGCCGAGAACAACUUCUCAUCUUCCAUCCUAUGCUGAUGACUAAAAUUUGAAUCCUCUUCAGAAUCCAGCGGCUCUUCGACUAAGUCUAGCAUUACAGAACGUAAAUAUAAAUAUUUUGUUUCUUUACAAGUCCUUCCAAAAGAUAACAAAGUCCUCGCCGAUUUUCUUAGCGAAUAUGGACUCUUCCCAGCUUUAGAAGAAAGGAAGGCUUGGUUAAUGACAAUUUCAACCUUCAGUCUAGCUUUCCUUUAGUACUCUUGGGUUCUUCUAAGCUACCUUCAAGUUUCAAAUAAAUGUGAAUUAAUCCAUAUGUUUUAAAACAAAGGGUAAAUUCCACUACUAGUCCCUCAAUUAUAUCUCAUUUAAUAAAAAAAGUUAUAAUUUGAUGAUUAACAUUUUUAAAAUUAUUUUUUGUCGCCGACCAAUAAAUGACUAAAAGUUACACUUUUUUAGUUUCUCCAUUUUUGUUCCCUAGGUCUUGUGGAAACAACUGAAGGUUUUGUGAUGCGUUACAUGCUGUUGAAAAACAUCUUUCAAAACUAAUUUCAUUUAGACUUGUGAAAUUAACUUUGAUGUCAUUCUUUUAGUAAAAAAAAUACAAAAUAUACAAAAAAAAAUUCUUUUUCAAGUUCCAUAAAAAAAAUUAUUUUUUGUUGACUUGAAACAGUUGCCAAGCAACAAGCAAAGUAUGAGCAUAAGUGGCUACGGAAGUGGUACUUCUGCAAGCGUUGUGAUUAGCAAAAAGAAAAUAUGAAACAAUUACAACAGUGAACCUAAAUAUAUCACACUCCAAUGAUGAUUCCUUACUCUUGUACCUUCAAAGAUUAGAUCACUCACCACAAAGUUCUCCAAGCCACUAAAUUCUCCCUUGGAGAACUUUGUUUGUAAAAUCAUAAUGCAAAAGUUUACAAUCACAAAUGCACUUUCAUAAAUAAUGUUCCUCACAUAUAAAUGGUCUUAAUAAUUAGUGCAUCAACCUAUAAUUUUAUAUUUUACAUUAUUUUUGCAUAUAUUAAAAAUAUUAUGUUAAAUUCAGAUUCAUUACAAUCUCAUUUUUUAAUUACAUGACUACUAAGUGAGUAUUUUUUAUUUAAAAAUGUGACAUUAAUAAAAUUGACAAAAAAAAAUUAACGAUGUCAACAAUUAUACUUGAUUUUCAAAUUUGAAAAGUAAACGGAUUAAAUUCUUGAAAAUAAAAGUAUAAACACUAAAUUACAAAUAUAUGAAGUGUACAUAAACUUAUGACAUAUUUUAACCAUUAUACUACAAAAUAUUUAUUAUUAAUAUAUUUAUAAUUGUAAUAAAUAUUUAUUAUUAAAAUAUUAAUAUAGAAUAUUUUCAAUUAUAUGUAAAUAAUAUUAUUUAAAAUUAUUAUUCUUAAAAUUUAUUAUUAAAAUAAAAUUAAAAUAUUAAAUAAUUUAUUAAAAUAAUAAAUUAUAUUUAUUAUAUCACUAAAUAUAAAUACUUAAAUAUGUAUUUUAAUAAUAUUAAAAAUAUAAUAUUUUAAAUAUUUUUAAAAAUAAAAAUAAAAAUUAUUAUUAAUAUAAUAAUAUUAAACUUAAUUUAAAAUAAUUUUUAUAUAAAAAUAAAAUUAUCCAUAAAUAAACUCUUUCGUAAUUCGUCCUCAUCAUUUCAUGUCAUGUGACUGUUAAUUCCCAAACAAAUGCACAGGUCAUUGGCAAACCAACCAGAACCAACUUGCAGCAAAGGAAGAUUCCCCUUUCCUUUUCAAUCCACUAAAAUACAGAAACAAAAACAAAUACUCAGAUUUAGAUCCAAUAUUGUAACAAUCUCAUAAUUAAGGCACCAAAUCCACUCACGCAAUUACUGAAACUUCAAGGAAAAUGUGAGAGCAUCGAUUUAUUAUUUUUUUAAUGACUUAAUUGCAAUAUAAUUAAUCCAUAAACUUUAAAUUAUUUUAAUUAUAUAUCCAAAUUAAUCGGGUUAUAUCAAUUAAGUUUUUUUAUUACUAAAAUUAUUAAUUUAAUGGAAAAUUAUCUCCCGAGACUCUCUCUCAAUUUUAAAAUUGAGCAAACUAGUCACUCUCAAAAAAAUUAAAGCAAUUUAAACACUAUUAAAUUUGAAAGUAAGCAAUUGAAGACAAUUAAUCACAAAUUAAAUUACUUUGAUUUUUUUAAAAGGGACUACAGAGGUCGUUUUAGCCAGUUUAAUUGUUAAAUUACAUGUUAGAUCUUAUGUGACAUGAUUUAAAAUAAUUUUUUUAAAAAUAAAUAUUGUAAAAAAUAGAUGUUUUAUAAAUAUUAAUUUUGAGAUUUUCGAAGUUUUUACAUUGUUUACCUUUUUUUUUUAAUUUUACUUAAAAUUGUUUUUAUUUUUAAAAAUCAUGCAACAUCAUUCUAUUUAUUUAAAAUUUUUAUUUUAAAUUUCGUUACAUAAUAUUUAAUGUGUCAUUUAAUGAUUUUAAUAUAUGAUUAAUAGUUUGGAUGUAAUUAAAACAGUUUGAAAUGUAGGGACCAAUUUAAAUCCCACUUCAAUAAUUUUUUUUUUUUGACAAACACUUCAAUAAUAUUAGUUUGUGGUAAGUGGGGCCAUUUUUUCAAAUAGGAAAAAAAAAAGCACGGGGUGACUGGUAAACCAAUCAGCACCAACUUGUUGCAAAGGAAGAUUCCCCUUUCCGUUCCAAUCCUCUAAAAUACAAUUAGAAAAACAAAUCCUCAUAAUUUAGAUCUAAGACUGCAGUAAUCUCAUAACACAAAUCCUUUGGCUACUAAACCAAGAAAAUCCAGUUGUGUUUCCGAGUGGUUGAAUCUUCCAGGCAGAUAAACUUCCAUUUCUUUCUGAAAGUUGUGUUUCCAUUUCUUUCCGAGUGGUUCAACCUUGAUUUCUACUUUGUUCUUUUUUCUUUUUAUUUCGCUUUCUUCAACUUCCUUUCUUUUUGUAGUCAGUUUUACUUACUUUUGCUCAAAAAAGAAAAAAAAAAAACCCAGCCUUCAAAUCCCUUUUGAUUGAUUUGAAGUAGUAAGAAUCUUCUCAACACAAAGUGUAUAGUUUGAUUUUGAGGUAAAUCUAUUUAUAUUUGUAUUUAUAUAUAUAUAUAUAUAAAUUAAAUUUGUUAUAUAUUUUUUUUGAUCUCAUCUCAUCUCAUCUUUUUAUGUUCUUCUUGAAGCAAAUUAGAGGUAAAGGAGUGUUUGGAUUGACGAUCAAAUUCUUGGAGUUACAACUUCAUUUUGAAGUGGUAAGUGGAUAUGUUUCCAUCAUUCUUAUAACUAAUUAUAUGCCUUUUUUAUUUAUAAUUACAUCACAUUACACACAUGUAUAUGAUUUUAUUUAGGGAUGAAGGUUGGAUCAAAUUGAGUCGAAAAUUUUUAAAUUAAUCGAGUUGAUGAGUCUCAUUUUAUCAUCCUCGAAUCGAGUAAAAUUAUUAGAGUUAAAUUAAAAAAAUUAAGCAUAUCAAAUUAAAAUAUUGUUACCGUAUGACUAAUUACAUGUUAAACCAAUUAAAUUUAAAACUAUAUAUAUUUGAAAUUUUUUUAAAAUGAAAUAAAUAAAACUUCAAUCAUUAAUUAAUUUAUUUAGGUUACAAAAUUAUUAUUUUAGAAAAUUUUUUAAAAUUAUUAAAAAAUUAGAAAUUUUAUAAAUAUUUUAAAAUUUUGAAAAUUAUUUUAUUUUUAUUUUUUGUAAUUUUUUUCAAAGAAACCAAUAUGUUCAUUUUCAAAAUUGAUAGGGAUUAAAGAUGUAUUUACGCCAAUCUAUUAUUCGAAUUGUAAAAUUUAAAUCGAUUCAAUUAAUUUAAAAUUUAAUUUUUUCAAAUCGAAUCGAGUUUUACCCACUCUUAAUUUUAUAAAUUUAAAUGAAUUGACAAAAAUAAAACAAAGAAAAUGAAAUAAAAGCUAUAAAGUUCAUUUCAUUAAAUAAAAUAGAGAAACCAAUUCUAUAUGUUCUAUAUCUGCUAGAUUUUAUCACAAACGGAAAUAUUUUAUAUUAAAAAUAUAUUUAUAAAUAUGUCAACUGGUUUUGUGAUUGAUUCUUAAAUAUUAAAUAAAAGUAUGAAAAGAUAAAAAUACCCUUAUAUUAAUAUUAAAAUAAUAUUAAUUAUUUUUUAAAGUAAAAGUAUUUUAAUUCUUUUACGAUCGAGUUAGUGUUUAAUUGACUUGUGACACUAACUUAAUCAAACACUUUAUAUAUAAUUAUUUUACAUCUAGUUUUCAAGUCAUGAUUUUUUUUAUUAAGUUUCUAAUAAUAUUCGCAUUUUGCGUUAUGUUUUCAGCUGGACUAAGCUGGAAGAAUAGCCCAUUGAUUCUCAGACUUCGAAUCCUUCUUCAAUUUGAGCUUGUCAAGCAUGGGUUGCGGAUUUUGUGAGGCUGCUCUUUCUAACACAGUUGGAACACUGGUUGUGGACUGUGUGGUGAAGCCGGUAGGACGUCAACUUGAUUUUGUCCGUCGCUUUCAAGACAAUGUUGAAAAGCUCCUAAAGAAAAAGCGUGAACUUGCAGAUGCACGAAAGCGUCUACAACAUGAGAUUGAGGAAGCUAAAAACCGGCUUCUACUAAUUGAAGAUGAUGUACAUAACUUACAAUCAAGGGCAGACGAAACACUGUCGGAUAUGGGAACUCUGGAGGAGGAAAUCCAACUGAAUAAGAGGUGUCUCAAUUGGUGUCCUAAUUGGAGUUGGAGAUAUCAAUUAAGCAAGAAAGCAAUGAAGAAAAUCCAGGAUAUCUCUGAGCUUUUGGAAAAAUUUGGUGAACUUGGACCAGUCGGUUACCGUGAUCUUACUGCCCUUCCCACUAUAGACUUCCUAUGUUCUAAGGAAUUUGUGGUUUCGGAAUCUUCGAAGGCUGCUUUCAAUCAAAUCAUUGAAGCCUUAAAAGAUGAGAAUAUCAACAUGAUUGGGUUGUGGGGGAUGGGAGGGGUGGGCAAGACCACCCUGGCUCAUGAAGUUGGAAGUCAAGCUCCAAAACUGAAUUUGUUUGACAAAGUUGUGAUUACGACUGUGUCUCAAAAGCCAAAUUUUGAGAGAAUUCAAGAUCAAAUUGCACAAUACAUAGGCUUUGAUAUGAAGAAGGAACAAGGAAGAAGAUCUGAGCAACAAUUAUGGUUAAGGCUAAAGGAUGAACCGAGGAUUCUUAUCAUCGUUGAUGAUAUUUGGGAAUCUAUCAACUUAAAGGAGAAGAUAGGAAUUCCAAUUGGGGAUGAUCAUAAAGGCUGCAAAGUUCUUUUAACAACACGCCGUCAACAAGUAUGUCGAGCUAUGGAUUGUCAAAACGUGGUACAACUUGGCUGUUUGGAUGAUGAUGAAGCUUGGACUCUGUUUGAAAAGAAAGCAGGUCUAGAUGACUUUUCUGAUGAUUCUAUUAGAACCCCAGCAAAGAAAAUUGUCAAAAAGUGUGGGGGUUUGCCUAUAGCUAUAGUUCCGCUGGCAAGUGCCUUGAAAGGUAAAACCCAUCAUGAGUGGCAAGCUGCAUACCGGAGACUCAAAGAUCGUAGAUUGACUGAAAUCGAGGAUGUUGAAGAAAAUGCCUAUGUAUGUCUUGAG
rnacentral:lncRNA from 1 species